rnacentral:rRNA from 1 species
AUGAAAGAAGUGAAUUUUCACAUAGGCAUGGUGUUCUUGACAGUGACUGAACUGAGGGCAGCAAUUCAAGAGUACAUUGUGAAACAAAGAGUGCAAAUACAGUACAUUAAAAAUGAUAAGCAGAGGGUUAGGGCAGGCUGUGUUCGUGACUGUCCCUGGUUCUUAUUUGCUGCACCUGAUAGCAGGACAAAAUCUUGGGUUGUGAAGAAGUAUGUGGGAGAACAUACAUGUGAAAGAGAGUGGGCACUGAAGCAAUUCACAGCAAAAUAUCUGGCUGGCAGGCAUGUGGAGACAUUCAGAGCAGAUGAGAAGAUGUCAAUGCAAAAGAUGGAGUUUUUGAGAACUGUUACAUGUCAUUGGAUGCAUUCAAGAGAGGUUUCUUACUUGCUUGCAGGCCAAUUAUAUGCAUUGAUGGGUGCCACAUUAAGAACAAGUAUGGUGGAGUGA